GAUGAACGCUGGCGGCGUGCCUAAUAAAUGCGAGUCGAGCGAACAGACGAGGAGCUUGCUCCUCUGACGUUAGCGGCGGACGGGUGAGUAACACGUGGAUAACCUACCUAUAAGACUGGGAUAACUUCGGGAAACCGGAGCUAAUACCGGAUAAUAUAUUGAACCGCAUGGUUCAAUAGUGAAAGACGGUUUUGCUGUCACUUAUAGAUGGAUCCGCGCCGCAUUAGCUAGUUGGUAAGGUAACGGCUUACCAAGGCAACGAUGCGUAGCCGACCUGAGAGGGUGAUCGGCCACACUGGAACUGAGACACGGUCCAGACUCCUACGGGAGGCAGCAGUAGGGAAUCUUCCGCAAUGGGCGAAAGCCUGACGGAGCAACGCCGCGUGAGUGAUGAAGGUCUUCGGAUCGUAAAACUCUGUUAUUAGGGAAGAACAAAUGUGUAAGUAACUAUGCACGUCUUGACGGUACCUAAUCAGAAAGCCACGGCCAACUACGUG
rnacentral:rRNA from 1 species